rnacentral:rRNA from 1 species
AAUCAACGCUGGCGGCGUGCCUAACACAUGCAAGUCGCACGAGAAAGGGACUUCGGUCCUGAGUACAGUGGCGCACGGGUGAGUAACACGUGAAUAAUCUACCUCCGAGUGGGGAAUAACUGAGAGAAAUCUUAGCUAAUACCGCAUAACACUUACGAGUCAAAGCAGCAAUGCGCUUGGAGAGGAGUUCGCGGCAGAUUAGUUAGUUGGCAGGGUAAUGGCCUACCAAGACGAUGAUCUGUAUCCGGCCUGAGAGGGCGCACGGACACACUGGAACUGAAACACGGUCCAGACUCCUACGGGAGGCAGCAGUGGGGAAUUUUGCGCAAUGGGGGAAACCCUGACGCAGCAACGCCGCGUGGAGGAUGAAAUACCCUUGGGAUAGUAAACUCCUUUCGAUCGGGAUGAUAAUGACGGUACCGAGAGAAGAA